CCGUAGCCUGGUAGCGGGGGAUAACUAUUGGAAACGAUAGCUAAUACCGCAUAACAGUAGAUAUCGCAUGAUAGCUGCUUGAAAGGUGCAAUUGCAUCACUACCAGAUGGACCUGCGUUGUAUUAGCUAGUUGGUGAGGUAACGGCUCACCAAGGCAACGAUACAUAGCCGACCUGAGAGGGUGAUCGGCCACACUGGGACUAAGACACGGCCCAG
rnacentral:rRNA from 1 species